rnacentral:rRNA from 1 species
GAUGAACGCUGGCGGCGUGCCUAAUACAUGCAAGUCGAGCGAACGGACGAGAAGCUUGCUUCUCUGAUGUUAGCGGCGGACGGGUGAGUAACACGUGGAUAACCUACCUAUAAGACUGGGAUAACUUCGGGAAACCGGAGCUAAUACCGGAUAAUAUUUUGAACCGCAUGGUUCAAAAGUGAAAGACGGUCUUGCUGUCACUUAUAGAUGGAUCCGCGCUGCAUUAGCUAGUUGGUAAGGUAACGGCUUACCAAGGCAACGAUGCAUAGCCGACCUGAGAGCGUGGUCGGCCACCCGGGAAGUGAGGCACGGUCCCGACUCCUACGCGAGGCCGCAGUAGGGAAUCCUCCGCGAUGGACGAAAGCCUGACGGAGCAACGUCGCGUGAGUGCUGAAGGUCUUCUGCUCGUAAAACUCUGUUAUUAGGGAAGAUCAUAUGUGUAAGUAACUGUGCACAUCUUGACGGUACCUAAUCAGAAAGCCACGGCUAACUACGUG